rnacentral:rRNA from 1 species
UAGGGAAUCUUCCACAAUGGGCGCAAGCCUGAUGGAGCAACACCGCGUGAGUGAAGAAGGGUUUCGGCUCGUAAAGCUCUGUUGUAAGAGAAGAAUGACAUUGAGAGUAACUGUUCAAUGUGUGACGGUAUCUUACCAGAAAGGAACGGCUAAAUACGUGCCAG